UGUUUUCCUGUGAAGGGAUGAGUAAGGUAAGUCGUCCAGUACAGAGAGCCGGAGUUAGCUGAAAACCGGUCUGGAGUGAAGCCUGAAUAUGGUCCUGGAGGAACCUUUUUCGAGCGUAUUUGCCAUAGUGAAGCUGUGUUCAAGAGGCAAUCGUAAGGAGGAGGCGUGAUCCAGCGUUAAUGGGCGGUCAGAUGUGACCGGUGAAGCCUGUAUUCUGCGAAGGUACAGGGAAUUUGGGUGGUAACGCGUGAGGUGACUCUCGUCCCAUAG
rnacentral:ncRNA from 1 species